GUGCAUGCAGCCCCUGUCACGUACCCCUUGCUUGACUGAAUCAAUCACGACCCUUUCAUGUAAAAUCUUUAGUGUUGUGAGCCCUUAAAUGGGACAGAAACUGUGCACUCAGGGAGCUUGGAUUUUAAGGCAGUAGCUUGCCGAUGCUACCAGCUGAAUAAAGCCCUUCCUUCUACAACUCGAUGUCUGAGAAGUUUUGUCUGCAGCUCGUCCUGCUACAUUUCUUGGUUCCCUGACCGGGAAGUGAGGUAAUUGACGGACUGCCGAGGCAGCACCUUAGGCGGCUUAGACGUGCCCUGUGGAGCAUCUCUGCGGGGGACUCCAGCCAGCCUGAGUGACGCGAUCCAAACAGCGCUCCUGGGUAGGAAAAUGCCCCAGUGGGAUGCCUCACCAGAGCAGCGCUUGGCAGGCCCCCGCGGAGGAUAAACACAGUGGCUGAACACCAGGAAGGAACUGGCACUUGGAGUCCAGACAUCUGAAACUUGGUAAGACUAGUCUUUUGAACUUGCCCCACUCCACCUGAGUGGAAGCAUGGCCUGAUCACCCGCAGUGUGCCUGUACUGGCAUCUUUGUUCUGGUUUUGACUUGGCUUGACUUGGAAUCCUUCUUGGCACUGGGAAUACAGAGGUGAUGGGCAGGAAAAUUCCCUGAUUUUAUAGAGCUUAAAUUCUUGUAGGAGAGACAGACAAUAACAAAAGAAGACUGACUGAGAUGUGUUGGCGGGCUUCUCAAGAUCCCUAUCGAUGGCAGAAUGCUGACAUGAGUUGCCCAUAGUCCAGGUUUCCCAAUGUAGCAGAUGACUCUAGCGGCUCCAGCUUCAGCAUCAUCUUAAGUUCAAGUGAAAAGGAAAAGAGAAUCUCUUUUUCUUCAAACAAUUUCAAACUAAAAUCUUGAGUCUGACUUUUCCUGGCCAGAAUUAAGCUUGUACUUAUCCCUGAAAAAUCAUCAAUGCUACAGUGAUGAAUUUACCAAUUGAGGCAGAAUUUAGGUCACAUGACGCUCCAAAGCCUCUUCAAAACCGCAUGACUCAGAGUGAGGCAGAAGUAUUUGGGAUAUUUGCAACAGGAGAAGGGUAAAUGAAUGGAGAGUGCCAAAACAACUUAUGUCAAUUAUACAAUUAUAAAUACAACCAAAAUAAAGUAUGGAAAUCAGUAUUUUCACCUAUCUUAACAGAGUGAAAGAUUUAUUCUGUUGAAUAUUUGCCAUAUUUCACUUUCCACAUUCAGCACUCUGCAAUAUUUAAAGAAGAAAAUAAGUCUCCAUAUACUGAAUAAAGACAUAUCAAAAUUUGUGUGACAUCAUAUUCCUUAGUUACAUUUUUUGUUCAUUCAUUUGUGUGUUUGUUUAUGUCACCCACACUAGAUCAUGGUGGUGUGAACAUGGUUCACUACAGCCUCAACAUCCUGGGCCCAAGCAAUCCUCCCACCUCAGCCUCCUGUGUAGCUAAGACCACAGGUGGGCACCACCAUGCCCAGCUACCUUUUAAUUUUUUGUAGAUAUGGGGGUCUCACUUUGUUGCCCAGGCUGGUCUCGAACUCCUGGGCUCAAGCUAUCCCCACAACACUUUGGUUUGGCCUCCCAAAGUGUCGGGAUUACAGGUGCGAGCCAGUGCACUCAGCCUUACAUUUUUUAAUAAAUGAAUUUAAACAAAGAAUAGAAACAUAUUUUUAAACACACCAAUUAACAAACCAAAGUGUAUUGCAAAUUAUUGGAAGGGACAGCAGAGUGAAAAAAUGUUAUCCCACCUGCAGGAGGUGGAAAAGGUGAUAAUAUGAAACAAAUAUUUCCACCUAUCCUAAUAGAGUAAAAGAUUUAUUCUGCUGGAUAUUUUCUGUAUUUUACCUACCUUCCACAUUCAGCACUCUGCACUCUCUUGCCCAACUAUUCCUUUUAAUUUUCCCAUAAUACAACUUUUUAAUAUUUUAUGUAAUAUAUGUAUUUAUUUCUUUCUUUUACUAACUGUGUUUCCUACUGGAAUGUAAGCUUCAAAAAUUCAGAGAUCUUUGUCCUUGUUGCUGAUAUAGCCUACUGUCUAAAAAAAACUUCAGAUAUUUAAUUUUUUUAACUUUUAAGUUCAGGGGUACAAGUGCAAGUUUGUUACAUAGAUAAACAUGUGUCAUGGGGGUUUCUUGUGCAUAUCAUUUAAUCACUCAGGUAUUAAGCUUAGUACCCAUUAGUUAUUUUUUUCUGAUCUUCUCUCUCCUCCUAUCCUUCACUCUUCAAUAGGCCCCAGUGUGUGUUAUUCUCCUCUAUGGGUCCAUAUGUUCUCAUCAUUUAGCUCCCACUUAUAAGUGAGAGCAUGCAGUGUUUGGUUUUCUGUUUCUGUCAGUUUGCUAGGGAUAAUGGCCUCCAGCUCCAACCAUGUUCCUGCAAAGGACAUGAUCUCAUUUUUUUUAUGGCUGCAUGGUAGUCCAUGGUGUAUAUAUACCACAUUUUCUUUAUCCAGUCUAUCAUUGAUGGGCAUUUAUAUUGAUUUCAUGUCUUUGAGAUUGUAAAUAGUGCUGCAGUGAACAUAUGUGUGUAUGUGUCUUUAUAAUAUAAUGAUUUAUGUUCCUUUGGGUAUAUACCCAGCAAUGGGAUUGCUGGGUCAAAUGGUUUUUCUGUCUUUAGGUCUUUGAGGAAUUGCCACACUGUCUUCCACCAUCUUUAUUUCUGCCUUCGUUUCGUUAUGUACCAGUAGUCAUUCAGGAGCAGGUUAUUCAGUUUCCAUGUAGUUGAUCAGUUUUGAGUGAGUUUCUUAAUCCUGAGUUCUAGUUUGAUUGCACUGUGGU
rnacentral:lncRNA from 1 species